CCAAAUGACGACCAGUUCCGACCAGUUCCCUCGGUCUCCAGCAGCCGCAGCUCCAUCUCAGCACCGGAACUCCCCGGAUGCCGGUCAAAGCUGGGCUUGGUUUCCGGCUUGGUCUACAAGCGUAAUCCGGUGACUUCUAACCUUUGUUAUUUCAUUCUUUAUUCUGCAUUCUUUAAUUCUUCGUAUUAUGCUAGUAGUAGCCCCUGUACCUUGACUUGCGUGGGAUUUGUGGAUAUUGCCUGUUGUCUAUUGUUGCUGUUGCUGUGGUCGUUUCUUGCACUGCUUGGAUUGGGUUAUCGGCUUGGGAAUCUGUGUUUGGGGCUGUGGGUGUUGAGUCCAGUGGUGUUUGCCCCCUAAUUGAGUAUAGUU
rnacentral:lncRNA from 1 species